GUAAUAAAGUCUGAUACCUUCAAAAGCUGUCAAAGGAAGUCAUCUGCUUGCUUUCUUAGCACUAGCUGGACUUCCCCAAGAGAUGUGGGGAUCUUUGUGAAAUCACCUUGGGCGCUGGAAGUUCCCAAGUGGCAGUUCCCUGGGGAAGUCAAGGAUCUACAGAUGUACAUUGUUGUGACAAAUCCCAGCAGGAGGGACAGAAAAAGCCGGAAAAACAGUAAGAAGCUUGAAUGUUUGAUUGCAUGGUGUUGGUGGGCUAAACAGACACUGGGAAAACAGUGGAAGUAUGUUUGCUGGUACCUCCUCUGGUAAUGUUUCCUGGGCACCAUGUGCCAGAGGAGGAGAAUCUACCUAUUGACAUGCCUGUGCUGGAGAGCUGGAAGUAGAGACAACUUGUAGGGCAAAGAAACCCACAUAGCUUCUGUUGGAGGCUGUAGACAAUAGACUUUUACUAAUGCCGUAUACAAUGGGACCUCUAGAUUUUUAUGGAGGCUUUCUGUUGGGAUUUUGAAACAUUCUGAAGCACUGGGAAAAAUAAUUGCUCCAAGAUCAAGUAGUUCUGAAUCAUUUAAUUACGGUGGUGUUUUUAAGAAUUGUACAUGGACUAAAAAUAGAUGUUGUCCUCCUCCAUGUAGCCUUAGGCAAACAAAUUCAUGUUAAGUUUGGAUAGUGUUUGUUGACACCUCUGAAUUGUAUAUGAAAAAGAAAUUGCAGUGUACUGAUUUCCUUCAAUAUUACUGAUUCGGUACUAAAAAUAGAAAUAAAUUAUUACUAUUAUUCUGUGUUCAUAUUCUCCACUGGAUUUUAUGUAAGCAGAUCCCCAUGUAUAUGUGCAGAAACCUUCUGAAUUCUGUGUGAACUAAGUACUGAGAUCUAUUUUUUUUCCACAAAUGCAGUGUGCUUAAAAGGGCAAGACUGUCGUUUUGAUUUUCAUACAUAAAUCUCAUUUUCCACUUUAGAUGUGUGCAUUUUAUUCUCAGAUUCUUUCAUCCUUUUGUCAGCAGUGCACAGUUCCUAGAUACUCUCUGGACCCUAAGCACAGAUAGGAUUCAUAUGUACUCCAUAGUAUUUGGGUGUUAGCUAAGCACAUACAAAAUCUGUUAUAUUUAUGAAAUUAUUUGUGUAAAAAAUUAAUUUUCCUGAUUUUUUUUUCUGGUUUUCUGUGGUUUUGUUAGUUAGUUUGUUUUGUUUUAGGAAGAAUGGAAUUAAUAAAUCUUCUGUGAUUUAACUUUCAUCACUUCUUGGCCCCAUAAUUACAAAGAGCAAAGUGCCUGUAUUCUUUGGAGGAAAUUGAUCUUUUAGAAAAAUUCUCAUCUGUUAUAUCUUUGUGGACCAUGCAUCAUAAAACAAUUUACCAGCAUGAGCCUUCUAGACACUGCAAUGAAAAUAAGCAAUAAUAGCCUAGCAAUUACUGAAAUCCUAUAUUAAAUACAAUUACAUCCACAAAUCAGCUGUCAGUUGCAAGUCAACAAAAAGCAGUGCAAGAACAGGGCCCACCAAUGCUGCAGUGACUGCUCUUUGCAGAACUUUGGGGACCCCACCUCACAGUGAAAAGAGACUUCUGCCCAGGGAGGACUUUCCUCUGGGGUGAGAAAUUAUACUGCUUUUUCCAACAGCUAUGAUAAUGCAUGUGCUGCUCCCUGCACAUUUUUGUCACUUGCAUUCUUGGGCCAUCAGAGCUAUAAUGUCACCGUUACCACUUAUUUAACCUGUCAGAGUAUUUUAACGAAAUACACCUUUUCAAUUCU